rfam:Lupinus angustifolius cultivar Tanjil chromosome LG15, whole genome shotgun sequence.
UGGUGCGAUCAUAACAGUACUAAUGCACUAGAUCCUUUCCGAACUCUGCAGUUAAUCGUGCUUGGGCGAGAGUAGUACUAGGAUGGGUGACCUCGUGGAAAGUCCUCCUAUUGCACCUC